AUUGAACGCUGGCGGCAGGCCUAACACAUGCAAGUCGAGCGAGCGGCGGACGGGUGUGUAAUGUAUGGGGACUGCCCGAUAGAGGGGGAUAACUACUGGAAACGGUAGCUAAUACCGCAUACUAUCGGAUAACCCAUAUGGGUUUAGCUUGUGGGUGGGGUAAUGGCUCACCUAGGCGACGAACCCUAGCUGGUCUGAGAGGAUGAUCAGCCACACUGGAACUGAGAAAAGGCCCCGAAUCCUACGGAGGCAGCAGUGGGGAAUAUUGCACAAGGGGGGCAAGCCGGAUGCAGACAUGCCGCGUGUAUGAAGAAGGCCCUAGGGUUGUAAAGUACUUUCAGUCGGGAGGCGGUAACGAAAGAAGAAGCACCGGCUAACUCCGUGCCAGCAGCCGCGGUAAUAG
rnacentral:rRNA from 1 species